ensembl:lncRNA
GGGAGAUGGGCGCCUUCCACUGGCCUUUAACGAGAAGGGCAAGGGCCCUGUACACAAAGCCUUCUUCGCUAAUUUCAUUUGUGCACAAAGCAAAGCCCUUCUCCUUUUCCUCCCCCUAGGGUUGGGACUGAAUUUACUCUGGGUCUUGAAGUGUGGAAAAAGUAAACACUGCUCUAUUUGGAUUCCACUCACUGGUUUCUCCUGAGCCCAACAGAGCAGAGCCUGAGAGCAACCCCACGAGAAAACCACGAUCCCGGGUAACGCCAGGAGUUCCAGACAGUGCGAGCAGAGCAGCAAAGCAAGGCAAAAACCCCUGAGGUGGGAAAGAAAUGAGAAGGAGAAACACUGGGCUUAUUCUUAAUCGCUUUGCAUUUCCACAGAAAGCACUGUCAGCCCACAGAAGCUUCGGGAACCAUAGCACCCCCACCCCCACUCACCGGCGUGGCUAGGCCUGGCCAUGUCUGUCACCAAAUCUGUCCUGCCCUGCGACUCACUGGGUACCAUGUGAGCCAAGCCUGCACCAGUGUGAGGACGGAACUGCUGUGUCUGUGCGACCAAGUGGGUGCUUAAGAAGGACUCCUCGAGGCAAGACUUAUUUUUUCUUAGGAGACGGCCUGGCUUUGUGGUCCAGGCUGGCCUUGAACUUGCUAUGUAGCCAAGGCUGGCCUCCAACACACAAUGAUCCUCCUGCCUCAGCCUCCCCAGUGCUGGGAUUACAGGGAUGUGGCACCACAUCCAGCCGAAGCAAGAGUUCAAAAUUAAAGCAUCCUGUGCCCCCAGAUGUCUGGCUCUGCCUUGCUGUCCCAGGCCAGCAGCCUCUAGUGGGGCACGAGGGGCCAUGGGGCCACAGCUCAACUCCCAGACACCCUCUCUGGGCUCAGACUCUUGAGCGAAGGGACAGCAAAGUGUGUGAGCCCGCCCGGAUCUGGCCAUCAGCUGACGCUGCUCCCCAGAGUGGGGGAGCAGCCCCCCCCACCCCCGGCCGGAUGCUCAGUUUCCCUUCCACUGAAGUCUGUUUCCCCGGGCAUGGUGGCGCACGCCUGAAACCCAAGCACUCUGGGAGGCUGAGGCAGGAGGAUCGCAAGUUUGUGCCCGACCUGAGAAACAGCAACUUAGUGAGACUCUGUCUCAAGAUAAAAAAUCAGGAGGCUGUAGCUCAGCGGGGGGGACCUGGGUUCAAUCCCCCAGUGCUGAAAAAAACCUGUUUCUAGUUAAAAGUAGCCAGAGCUAAUUUCUCCCAUUUGUAGCUGAAAAAUCCCAAAGGACGCGGCUCACAGCAACCCGUCAGCACGCGGGUGUGCGUGGACUCGCACGUGCACGUCGCGGGGGCACAGCGCUGUCUCGUCCGCAGGCGACUCACUCACGAGCGUGCGCAGUCUGACCCCGGAUUCCCUCUCCACAUCCGGCCACGAGCUGAUGAGAAACCGGGAGGGCCAGUGCACUGCGUGAGCGCGAGUGUGAGAGCGUGCAGCCUGGGGAAAAAUCCUGCCGACUCGCCACGCUGUUGGAGCGCACGCCCGCUCUACCAGGGGCGCGGGCCUUGCCGUCAGCGUCCUCUGCAGGCGCAGCCACCCCAAGCUUCCGCCGACCCUGACCCCAGCCCCAGCCCUCAACCCACGACCCGAGGCCACAGAGGCCCACAGGGUGAGCCCGUCUAACCCGGGCACCCAGGCUUUCACGCUGGAGGAGUGGCCGGGGAGGGGAGGGAGAGAGACAGAGGGAGGGAGAGACAGAGGGACAGAGAGAGACAGAGACAGAGAGACAGAGACAGGGAGAGAGACGAGAGAGAGACAGAGAGACAGAGGGAGAGAGAGAGGCCAUCUCCCCUCCCCUCUCCCCCACUCCCUCCGACAGUGCAGAGCAGGCUGCUGCCCAGCAGGAAGGAAAAGGCCACCAUCAGGGCAAGGCAAGUGUUGUGGGCACAGCGGCCCUGUGUUGCUUGCCUGUCUGCACACGGAGUCACCUGCCCGCUCCUCGGAUUUCUGCAGCUCCCCUGCGGCUCUGUCUGUGGCCCAGGCCCUGCUGGCGUGGAGUUUGUCCGACCCUCUGCGAGUGAGGCCCGGCACAGAUGGACGUUGCUCUCUGCUGUCCCUAGAACCCGGUGUCCCUCGCCUUUAGUCCACAGCAGGUGCUGUCUGCCGGCCCUGGCUCCCGCUUUGGCACCGAGUCCCCCUGGAGGCGAGGCGGGUUCUGCUUGUGUCGCAGGAGCUGGCUUGGACCACAGUGGGGCUUCUCAGGGUCUUCCCUGGGGCCACCCCAAGAAACUGCUCUGAUUGUGGGGUCCCUGUGCCCCGCACCGUGCUGUGAGGGGAAGUGUCCUUGGCUGCAUUCACCCCCGCCCUCUGGGAAAGGUUUCAGUGCCCUGGCAUCAAAUUUAUAACCAUGUUGUAUGUGACCCAUUGUCCUUGUCUCACCGGGGGUUGAACCCAGGGCCUUCACGCUGAGCUACACCCCACCCUUUUCUCAUUUUGUAUUUGGAGACAGGUCUCACUGAGUUGCCCCAGCGGGGCUUGAUCCUCCUGCCUCAGCGUCCGGAGCGUGGGUUUUUUGGGUGUGCACCACCACGCCCUGCUCAGCACUGCGGGUUUGCAGCAACUUUACUUGGUUCCCACAUAAAAGCAAACUCUUGUCUGUCCUCGUUUUCCAGUGUGAACACAGAACAACAGUCUUCCUCUCCAUGGAGCAAGAGGAUCUCUUGCGAUUCUUGGGACCCUACUUUCCUCCUGUUAAUGAUAAAGACCUAGGCGCAGAAAAAACACAAGGGAAAAGCAGCAGAGGCGUGGUCACCCUUGGUGGCGGCUCCCAGCGGGAUGAUGGGGGACCCAGCCCCUCAGAGACUCUACCUUGUUGGUCACCCUGAGGGUCCAGGGCUGAGAGACCUUUUAACUUUUUAAUAAAGAAGAUGAAUUCAAGUUUUUCCAUGAAAAUUUCCUUUAAAAACACUGCUUUAAUUUUUAAAAGAAACUCAAGCCUAGUGACCGAAUACACUCUUGGGGACAGAACUCUCCAUCUCCCGGGCCCACGAGGGCUGCCAGUGCGCCUGUGAUCAGGGAC